rnacentral:rRNA from 1 species
UACGUAGGGAGCAAGCGUUAUCCGGAUUUAUUGGGCGUAAAGCGUAUGUAGGCGGUUUAUUAAGCCUAAGAUUAAAGCCCGAGGCUUAACCUCGGUUCGUUUUAGAAACUGGUAGACUAGAGUGCGGUAGAGGCAAAUGGAAUUCCUAGUGUAGCGGUGGAAUGCGUAGAUAUUAGGAGGAACACCAGUGGCGAAGGCGAUUUGCUGGGCCGUUACUGACGCUGAGAUACGAAAGUGUGGGGAGCAAAUA